GGCCCCAUCGUCUAGCCUGGCCCAGGACGGGAGAUUUUCAUUCUUCUAACACCAGUUCAAAUCUGGUUGGGGCCG
rnacentral:tRNA from 1 species